rnacentral:rRNA from 1 species
CCCUACGGGGCGCAGCAGUAGGGAAUCUUCCACAAUGGACGAAAGUCUGAUGGAGCAACGCCGCGUGAGUGAAGAAGGGUUUCGGCUCGUAAAGCUCUGUUGGUAGUGGAGAAAGAUAGAGGUAGUAACUGGCCUUUAUUUGACGGUAAUUACUUAGAAAGUCACGGCUAACUACGUGCCCGCAGCCGCGGUAAUACGUAGGGGGCAAGCGUUGUCCGGAUUUAUUGGGCGGAAAGCGAGGUCAGGCGGUAACAAUAGGCU